CUGUGAGCUCGAUGAGUAGGGCGGGACACGUGGUAUCCUGUCUGAAUAUGGGGGGACCAUCCUCCAAGGCUAAAUACUCCUGACUGACCGAUAGUGAACCAGUACCGUGAGGGAAAGGCGAAAAGAACCCCGGCGAGGGGAGUGAAAAAGAACCUGAAACCGUGUACGUACAAGCAGUGGGAGCACAGAGCAAUCUGUGUGACUGCGUACCUUUUGUAUAAUGGGUCAGCGACUUAUAUUCUGUAGCAAGGUUAACCGAAUAGGGGAGCCGAAGGGAAACCGAGUCUUAACUGGGCGUUAAGUUGCAGGGUAUAGACCCGAAACCCGGUGAUCUAGCCAUGGGCAGGUUGAAGGUUGGGUAACACUAACUGGAGGACCGAACCGACUAAUGUUGAAAAAUUAGCGGAUGACUUGUGGCUGGGGGUGAAAGGCCAAUCAAACCGGGAGAUAGCUGGUUCUCCCCGAAAGCUAUUUAGGUAGCGCCUCGUGAAUUCAUCUCCGGGGGUAGAGCACUGUUUCGGCAAGGGGGUCAUCCCGACUUACCAACCCGAUGCAAACUGCGAAUACCGGAGAAUGUUAUCACGGGAGACACACGGCGGGUGCUAACGUCCGUCGUGAAGAGGGAAACAACCCAGACCGCCAGCUAAGGUCCCAAAGUCAUGGUUAAGUGGGAAACGAUGUGGGAAGGCCCAGACAGCCAGGAUGUUGGCUUAGAAGCAGCCAUCAUUUAAAGAAAGCGUAAUAGCUCACUGGUCGAGUCGGCCUGCGCGGAAGAUGUAACGGGGCUAAACCAUGCACCGAAGCUGCGGCAGCGACGCUUAUGCGUUGUUGGGUAGGGGAGCGUUCUGUAAGCCUGUGAAGGUGUACUGUGAGGUAUGCUGGAGGUAUCAGAAGUGCGAAUGCUGACAUAAGUAACGAUAAAGCGGGUGAAAAGCCCGCUCGCCGGAAGACCAAGGGUUCCUGUCCAACGUUAAUCGGGGCAGGGUGAGUCGACCCCUAAGGCGAGGCCGAAAGGCGUAGUCGAUGGGAAACAGGUUAAUAUUCCUGUACUUGGUGUUACUGCGAAGGGGGGACGGAGAAGGCUAUGUUGGCCGGGCGACGGUUGUCCCGGUUUAAGCGUGUAGGCUGGUUUUCCAGGCAAAUCCGGAAAAUCAAGGCUGAGGCGUGAUGACGAGGCACUACGGUGCUGAAGCAACAAAUGCCCUGCUUCCAGGAAAAGCCUCUAAGCAUCAGGUAACAUCAAAUCGUACCCCAAACCGACACAGGUGGUCAGGUAGAGAAUACCAAGGCGCUUGAGAGAACUCGGGUGAAGGAACUAGGCAAAAUGGUGCCGUAACUUCGGGAGAAGGCACGCUGAUAUGUAGGUGAAGUCCCUCGCGGAUGGAGCUGAAAUCAGUCGAAGAUACCAGCUGGCUGCAACUGUUUAUUAAAAACACAGCACUGUGCAAACACGAAAGUGGACGUAUACGGUGUGACGCCUGCCCGGUGCCGGAAGGUUAAUUGAUGGGGUUAGCGCAAGCGAAGCUCUUGAUCGAAGCCCCGGUAAACGGCGGCCGUAACUAUAACGGUCCUAAGGUAGCGAAAUUCCUUGUCGGGUAAGUUCCGACCUGCACGAAUGGCGUAAUGAUGGCCAGGCUGUCUCCACCCGAGACUCAGUGAAAUUGAACUCGCUGUGAAGAUGCAGUGUACCCGCGGCAAGACGGAAAGACCCCGUGAACCUUUACUAUAGCUUGACACUGAACAUUGAGCCUUGAUGUGUAGGAUAGGUGGGAGGCUUUGAAGUGUGGACGCCAGUCUGCAUGGAGCCGACCUUGAAAUACCACCCUUUAAUGUUUGAUGUUCUAACGUUGACCCGUAAUCCGGGUUGCGGACAGUGUCUGGUGGGUAGUUUGACUGGGGCGGUCUCCUCCUAAAGAGUAACGGAGGAGCACGAAGGUUGGCUAAUCCUGGUCGGACAUCAGGAGGUUAGUGCAAUGGCAUAAGCCAGCUUGACUGCGAGCGUGACGGCGCGAGCAGGUGCGAAAGCAGGUCAUAGUGAUCCGGUGGUUCUGAAUGGAAGGGCCAUCGCUCAACGGAUAAAAGGUACUCCGGGGAUAACAGGCUGAUACCGCCCAAGAGUUCAUAUCGACGGCGGUGUUUGGCACCUCGAUGUCGGCUCAUCACAUCCUGGGGCUGAAGUAGGUCCCAAGGGUAUGGCUGUUCGCCAUUUAAAGUGGUACGCGAGCUGGGUUUAGAACGUCGUGAGACAGUUCGGUCCCUAUCUGCCGUGGGCGCUGGAGAAUUGAGGGGGGCUGCUCCUAGUACGAGAGGACCGGAGUGGACGCAUCACUGGUGUUCGGGUUGUCAUGCCAAUGGCACUGCCCGGUAGCUAAAUGCGGAAGAGAUAAGUGCUGAAAGCAUCUAAGCACGAAACUUGCCCCGAGAUGAGUUCUCCCUGACUCCUUGAGAGUCCUGAAGGAACGUUGAAGACGACGACGUUGAUAGGCCGGGUGUGUAAGCGCAGCGAUGCGUUGAGCUAACCGGUACUAAUGAACCGUGAGGCUUAACCUUACAACGCCGAAG
rnacentral:rRNA from 1 species